AGUGGAUAGUGCCCCGGAUGAUGAUUGCCUAAGGAGGGAGACUGCUGUGUGGCAUUCAGUCCAGCCUCUGACUGACCUCAUAACGUCCUCCAUUCGUCUUUAUGAAGAGGAUUGAUAAUCCAUAAAUUAAUCUGCUCAAAUUGCUACAUGUUCAGAGGUCGCAGAGUCGUCUUCCGGUCAGUCUGAAGUCGGGGGUCUGGAGAGUCAGUGCCACAUGAGGGUCAUCAUCAGAUACCUCUCAUUCAUCAUCAUCAUCGGUCUGGUGUGUGACCAAUGGGUGCUUUUCUUCCAGAGGAGAUUAUCCGUUUACUGUACGUGGUUUAAGGGGAAAGUCGUACUUAUCCUCCAUAGACCAGAGCUGGAAAUGAGAGGCUGUCCAUCCUGCGCUUCCAUAAGAACUAACAAACAUGGAACUGUCACUUCUAAAUCUGCUGAAAGGAUUACAGGAACUGAUGAGAAGAAAUGUUUUCAGGAUAUCAUUUUUUGACUGACUAGACAAUAUUGUCUGCAAGGACACAUGUUUACUGCAGAAUCCUCAGACAUCUGUUGUGAAGAACUUUCUUAUUAAAGCUCUGCAGAACAAAGACACUUUUCUUUGCAAGAAAUUGGUGACAUUUUAAGUAAAUGGGUCCAGACUAUAAACAGCCACAUUCAACAUGUUUCAUCCCACAACACUGAUUAGUAGAACACUUGGCGUGUGUUGUGCUGAACUUCAAUCAGUCUAACUUUGACACAUUUCAUUUGACCCCCUUUUGGUCCCCUAAUCAUUUUCCUACAGUCCACAAUAACACCUGAUUGAAGUUGUUUUUCACUCUCAGCAGGUCACACGUUUAGUACACAGACGUCUCAUCACACAGUAGGAGUUUACCUGCAUGCGAAGCAGCUCAGUGCUGUUGAGUUCCUGUGGUUGAUUCGACAGCUUGGUGGUUGACGCUCUCUCCCUCUCUUUGUCUCUGCACCUCCUGUUAACGGUGUAUCCUGUCAUGCAGCUGUAAACUCGGUUUUCCAUGUUGAAGUACAAACCCAGCCAUGUUUUCAUUUGUAAAGAUUGCAUUGAAGUCGACCUCUACACAACCAAUGUUGGAGUAAAGAUCGUAUUUUGUUACUGACAAUAAACACUUUCUAAUCAGUA